rnacentral:rRNA from 1 species
AUUGAACGCUGGCGGCAGGCCUAACACAUGCAAGUCGAACGCGUGGCGGACGGGUGAGUAAUGUCUGGGACACUGCCUGAUGGAGGGGGAUAACUACUGGAAGCGGUCGCUAAUACCGCAUACCAUCGGAUGUGCCCAGAUGGGAUUAGCUAGUAGGUGGGGUAAAGGCUCACCUAGGCGACGAUCCCUAGCUGGUCUGAGAGGAUGAACAGCCAAACUGGAACUGAGACACGGUCCAGACUACUACGGGAGGCAGCAGUGGGGAAUAUUGGACAAUGGGCGGAAGCCUGAUGCAGGCAGGCCGCGGGUAUGAAGAAGGGCUUCGGGUUUUAAAGUACUUUCAGGGCGGAGGCGGUACCCGCAGAAGAAGCACCGGCUAACUCCGUGCCAGCAGCCGCGGUAAUAC